AAUGAACGCUGGCGGCGUGCUUAACACAUGCAAGUCGAACGAGAAUUCUUUAGCUUGCUAAAGAUAGUAAAGUGGCGCACGGGUGGGUAACGCGUGGGUAAUCUACCUUCGAAUUGGGAAUAACCCCUCGAAAGCGGGGCUAAUACCGGAUAAUAUCUUUAAAAUUUCGAUUUUCAAGAUCAAAGGUGACCUCUACAUGUAAGCUACCGUUUGAAGAUGAGCCCGCGUACCAUUAGCUUGUUGGUAGAGUAAUGGCCUACCAAGGCUACGAUGGUUAGCUGGUUUGAGAGGAUGAUCAGCCACACUGGAACUGACACACGGUCCAGACUCCUACGGGAGGCAGCAGUGAGGAAUUUUGCGCAAUGGGGGAAACCCUGACGCAGCAACGCCGCGUGAGUGAUGAAGGCUUUCGAGUCGUAAAGCUCUGUCAAGUGGGAAGAACUUAUUUGAUACUAAUAUCAUCAAAUAUUGACGGUACCACUGAAGAAGCACCGCUAACU
rnacentral:rRNA from 1 species